rnacentral:rRNA from 1 species
AUUGAACGCUGGCGGCAGGCCUAACACAUGCAAGUCGAGCGGAUGAAGGGAGCUUGCUCCUGGAUUCAGCGUCGGACGGGUGAGUAAUGCCUAGGAAUCUGCCUGGUAGUGGGGGAUAACGUCCGGAAACGGGCGCUAAUACCGCAUACGUCCUGAGGGAGAAAGUGGGGGAUCUUCGGACCUCACGCUAUCAGAUGAGCCUAGGUCGGAUUAGCUAGUUGGUGGGGUAAAGGCCUACCAAGGCGACGAUCCGUAACUGGUCUGAGAGGAUGAUCAGUCACACUGGAACUGAGACACGGUCCAGACUCCUACGGGAGGCAGCAGUGGGGAAUAUUGGACAAUGGGCGAAAGCCUGAUCCAGCCAUGCCGCGUGUGUGAAGAAGGUCUUCGGAUUGUAAAGAACUUUAAGUUGGGAGGAAGGGCAGUAAGUUAAUACCUUGCUGUUUUGACGUUACCAACAGAAUAAGCACCGGCUAACUUCGUG